GAUGAACGCUGGCGGCGUGCUUAACACAUGCAAGUCGAACGGGAAACCGUUUAAUGAUGCUUCGGCAGAUUUAGCUGGUUUCUAGUGGCGGACGGGUGAGUAACGCGUGGGUAACCUGCCUUAUACAGGGGGAUAACAGUCAGAAAUGACUGCUAAUACCGCAUAAGCGCACAGGACCGCAUGGUCCGGUGUGAAAAACUCCGGUGGUAUAAGAUGGACCCGCGUUGGAUUAGCUUGUUGGUGGGGUAACGGCUCACCAAGGCGACGAUCCAUAGCCGGCCUGAGAGGGUGAGCGGACACACUUGGACUGAGACACGGCGCAGACUCCUGCGGGAGGCAGCAGUGGGGAAUAUUGCACAAUGGGGGAAACCCUGAUGCAGCGACGCCGCGUGAAGGAAGAAGUAUCGCGGUAUGUAAACUUCUAUCAGCAGGGAAGAUAGUGACGGUACCUGAAGAAGAAGCCCCGGCUAACUACGUG
rnacentral:rRNA from 1 species